ACUUCAUUUCCCACACUCUCUCACCGGUCAGAGAGGCGAGAGAGUGUGUGAAAUGGAGAGA
rnacentral:pre_miRNA from 1 species